UCUGAAGUUUCCCUCAGGAUAGUUGAAGUAUGAAGCACUAUAUUCGGUAAAGCGAAUGAUUAAAGGAAUUGUGGGACGAAACGUCUUUACCCUAUUCUCAAACUUCAAUGAGUAUGAUGUUUUGCUUGUUUAAAUGAAGCAUUGACAUUGAAUGUGUGCUCUAAAUAGGUCAUUUUUGGUAAGCAGAACUGAUGCUGUGGCAUAAACCAAACGUUGAGUUAUAUAUAAGUUUCCCGCUCAAGCACCAUCUAUUUCCCGGAUUAGUUGAUUCGGA
rnacentral:ncRNA from 1 species